rnacentral:sRNA from 1 species
UUUAGCUUAAUUCAAAACCUUAGUCUAUUGUAUGAUCUGAGAGCUUUGUGGAAUUCGACCGUAAAGUACUACAAUCGAUUUCUUAUUUGAAAGAGUGGUCUUAAGAUUAAUUUGACCUACAUCAAACAACAUUAAUUAGAUCUUAACAACCAUAAAUAUGAUUAUAUAGACAAAAUUGUAUAUAUAUAAAUAUAUAUAUAUAUAUAUAUUCAAAAAUAAAAUAUAGGUUAAUUUACCUUAAUUUUAUUUCAACAUGAAAUAAUAAUUAGAUAAACUAUAUAUUUAAUAGUUCAUUGAUUAAAUAGUGGAGUGGGUAGGAUUAACAAUAGUGUCAUAUAUGAUUUAAAUGAAAUGUUAAUUUCUUUUGAUGCUUCUAAUUGUGU